rnacentral:rRNA from 1 species
UACGACUACAUAUCAGGCAUAUCAAUAAGCGGAGGAAAAGAAACUAACAAGGAUUCCCCUAGUAACGGCGAGUGAAGCGGGAAGAGCUCAAAUUUGAAAUCUUAAAGGGUUUCCCUUUACGAAUUGUAGUUUAAAGAAGUGUUUUCUGUUGGAGUUUCGGUAAAAGUUCCUUGGAAUAGGGACAUCAUAGAGGGUGAGAAUCCCGUAUUUGACCGUUACUUUCCAGCUGUGUGAUACACUUUCAAAGAGUCGGAUUGUUUGGGAAUGCAGUCCAAGAUGGGUGGUAAAUUUCAUCUAAAGCUAAAUAUUGGCGAGAGACCGAUAGCGAACAAGUACCGUGAGGGAAAGAUGAAAAGAACUUUGAAAAGAGAGUUAAACAGUACGUGAAAUUGUCAAAAGGGAAGCGUUUGACACCAGUGUUGUUUAGUUGAAAAUCAAUUCAAUAGUUUUUGAUUCUAAGUAGUAUUGACUUCAUCAGCUUGCUGCUUUCUUCUCAGAAAUUAUUGAAUGCACUUUUCAGUUAACAAGUCAACAUCAAUUUCUUUUGUUGUAAAAGGGUAAGAGGAAGGUGGCUUGCGCUUCGGCUCAAGUGUUUAUAGCCUUUUAUCUCUGCAAUCGGAGAGAUUGAGGUCUGCAGCGUAGAUCCUUCGGGGUUAGAUACAUUGGUGCUAAGCUAUAGCCUUGUAUAGACAACUUGUUGACUAUGCUCAGUCAUGUAGCUUACUCGCUGAUGCUAUUUUACCUACGCUUAGGAUGUUGAGUAGCGACAUACGCAC